AGCGAACGCUGGCGGCAGGCCUAAAACAUGCAAGUCGAACGUCGUAGCAAUACGGAGUGGCAGACGGGUGAGUAACACGUGGGAACGUGCCUUUUGGUUCGGAACAACCCAGGGAAACUUGGGCUAAUACCGGAUAAGCCCUUCGGGGAAGGAUUAUCGCCAGAAGAUCGGCCCGCGUCUGAUUAGCUAGUUGGUGGGGUAACGGGCCCACCCAAGGCUACGAUCAGUAGCUGGUCUGAGAGGAUGAUCAGCCACACUGGGACUGAGAC
rnacentral:rRNA from 1 species